ACGAAGCACAAGGAAUUCGUCUUCCGCCGCCCUGCGGCUCUCUCACUAAUCUCAAGGAACGGCUUUUCAACUUCGUUGAGUCCCUCGUGGUUGCCUUCCGUGAGUCCCUCGUGGUCGCCAUGGCGAGCUCCUCCCUGCUGCCUGGGCUUGCGGACAGUCCUCCUACCUUCUCCAUGGCGAGCUCGUCUCUGCUGCCUCCUUCCUUGUCUGCCAUCGAGCAGGCCAUGGUGACGGCCAGAUUCACGCCUGCUCAUCAAGGUUCGACCUGGUUCAGCCCCGUCCCCGCACCAUGGAGCUCUGAUCCCACAGAUGCCGCACCUCGGCAGAAUCCCUGGAGGACAACCGCGGCUCCUCCUUAACAUCGCUCCUCCUUCAUGUCCAAGUGUCCAAGUGCAGAUCUGCAGUUAAUCAUGCAUGCCUAGUCGAUGGCAGCUCAGUGCCCAAGUCUGAUAUUUUGAUCUUUUUGGAACCAUUUGUCUACGAAGCAAAAUAAUGUGCAGUAAGAUUCUCCCAUUUAGUGUAGUAAGAUUAUGCCAUUAUGUUAACAUUAUGUGCAGUAAGAUUCUGUCAUUUUGUGUCUCUGCAUUUCAAUUAUCAACACAUAUUGAUUUGUGUAUUGAACAAAACAUAUAAGCUGUUCUUCGAAAGCUUGAUUAUUGAUUUCAGAAAAAAUGAUGUUGCCUUUUUUUUAUUGAAUCCUAAACUGAAUUUAAACUAAACUGAAUCAUUUAAUGCUAAAAUGAAGUUCAGUUCAAUUCUUUUUGCUACACGUAAUUAUCAUGCUUUGUUUUGUUUGUUUUGACACUAAUCUUUGCAAUCAAAAGCCAGAACAUGCUCAGUGGGUUCUGAAAACCACAUGAUGAGCUCAGUUACUGUGCUAAUAACUGUAAAUUCAACUCUCUUUUCCUUUUUCUGAAAGUUUAUGUGCAUCUAACUUUUCAAGUGAUGCAUUGCAAUCUGCACCAGAGCUUGUGCAGUGUACAGAGUUGACAGGGACACGUUAUUAGAGCACAAGCAGACCAAGCUCCAUAAGCUCAAAACACUAGCUAAUUUCAUGUAUUAUUAGCUUUAGCAGGAAGGGGGUCAGAACUCAGUGAGAGUACUCCAACAUGUCUAUAUUGUGAAGAUUAGCCAAUUUGAAUUUCAGUUUCAUUUCAAUUUCUCCUCACCGUCUUCACUUUCAAUCUCGUUUUCAGUUUGGUUCGACUCACCACAAGAAGAAGCAGCAGAGGUGGGGACUAGUAAGCAACAGAGGCGGGACGGGGGAAGCAGCAGCAAAGGCCGGCGUUGGGAAUCAGCACGAGUAGAGGUCGGCGCGGGGAACUAGCAGAAGCAGAGGCAUCACCCACCACCACCAGCGGCAACAGCCGGCGGCAGAAGAAGAAGUCCAGGUCGCCGUGGGCUAGCUGCGCGCGGCAGGUGGGCGGCCGAAGCGGCGGCUCAGGUGGGAAGCCGCAACAGGUGGGAGGAGCAGGUGGGAGACCGUGGCGGAGGCGCUGGUGAGCAUAGCAAGCGUGUGGCCGUGGUGGCUGCGCAGGUGCGCAGCAACAGCAGGCCGCCUCCAUGGCGGCGACGCGAGUAGGGGCGGCGCAGGUCGCUUCCUAGGCGGGGGCGAAGGUGAGAGGCGGCGGCGCUGAUGCGCGGCGGAUGCACAGGUGGGCAACGGCGCUGGUCCCCGACCCGACGGCGACGCGCGGGCGCUGGCGACUGGACAGAGGAAGGAGACGUGGACCUAUUUGUAACGGAUUUAAUGAUAGAAGGUUUGUUUUGCAAAGUCGUCAUAACACUACGCCCGUGACAACUUUUUCCGGACGGAGGGAGUAAUUUUUUUCGAGGGCCAGCGGUUUCCAGGCCUUGCACGACUCCAGGGCGAAACUGAUUGUUACAGAAUC